GAUGAACGCUGGCGGCGUGCUUAACACAUGCAAGUCGAACGAUGAAGCUGGAGCUUGCUCUGGUGGAAUAGUGGCGAACGGGUGAGUAACACGUGAGCAACCUGCCCCUGACUCUGGGAUAACAGCCGGAAACGGCUGCUAAUACCGGAUAUGCACCAUGAACGCAUGUUCUGUGGUGGGAAAGAUUUUUCGGUUGGGGAUGGGCUCGCGGCCUAUCAGCUUGUUGGUGAGGUAAUGGCUCACCAAGGCGUCGACGGGUAGCCGGCCUGAGAGGGUGACCGGCCACACUGGGACUGAGACACGGCCCAGACUCCUACGGGAGGCAGCAGUGGGGAAUAUUGCACAAUGGGCGAAAGCCUGAUGCAGCAACGCCGCGUGAGGGAUGACGGCCUUCGGGUUGUAAACCUCUUUUAGCAGGGAAGAAGCGAGAGUGACGGUACCUGCAGAAAAAGCGCCGGCUAACUACGUG
rnacentral:rRNA from 1 species